rnacentral:rRNA from 1 species
CCUACGGGAGGCAGCAGUGGGGAAUAUUGCGCAAUGGGCGAAAGCCUGACGCAGCGACGCCGCGUGAGGGAUGAAGGUCUUCGGAUCGUAAACCUCUGUCAGCAGGGAAGUACGGUCACUGUGCUAAUCAGCAGUGAAUUGACGGUACCUGCAAAGGAAGCACCGGCUAACUCCGUGCCAGCAGCCGCGGUAAUACGGAGGGUGCGAGCGUUAAUCGGAAUUACUGGGCGUAAAGCGCUCGUAGGCGGUAUGUCAAGUCAAGGGUGAAAUCCCCGGGCUCAACGUUGGAACUGCCUUUGAAACUGGCAGACUUGAGUGUGUGAGAGGAUAGUGGAAUUCCAGGUGUAGGGGUGAAAUCCGUAGAUAUCUGGAGGAACAUCAGUGGCGAAGGCGACUAUCUGGCACAUAACUGACGCUGAGGAGCGAAAGCGUGGGUAGCAAACAGGAUUAGAUACCCUAGUAGUU